UUCUUAUCUGCAUUAUAGAAAAUUUAGGAAUUGUACAUAAGCACAAAGAAGAAAAAAUCAUGCAUAAUUCUAGCAUUUAGGAAUCAAGAUCAUUGUACUGUUAUUACAUAUUCUUUUCUCCAUCAUUUAUAACGACCAUGUGGUAUAACAUUGUAUGGAUAUACCAUAAUUUAUCCAACCAACUCCUUAUUGUUAGAAAUGUAGGUUCUUUUUUUUCCAAAACACAUAAAAUGACAAUGGGUACUGCUGUAGGUAAAUAUCUGUACAGAUCCAUUGGAUCAUCUAUGAUUAACUUUGGGCAGAGACAGAACUUACAAGCGGAGAAAACGUAAAAGGUGGGGAAGCAAAGAAGCCUUGUUUUUUAAGAAGUCUGCUCUGGCUUCCAAGGUCAUCUAGGCUGGAGUCAGACUCCUGCUGCUUGUGGAGCUUUGAGAGGCAGCCUCCUCCUUCAAAGACUGCUCCGCACAGCUUCAUGAUUAGAGAUCUUCAAGAUUCUAGGAACACCUCAUCUUCCGGUUGCUAGGAAGAGGCAUGGCUCUGGGAAUAAUAGUUGUGACCAAGUUGGAGAAGGUUACAAACAGAAUUGUAGGCACGAGGGGGAAGUCAGUAAAGGGGGACGGGGUGGAAAGUUUCUCUCAACAUAUGUCCUAUUGAUGCAUUGCCUCAUUCACUGUCAUGCUCCUGAUAGGACUUCCCCUAUAUGCAGUGAGCCCUCAGGUGGGUGCAGACUGACAAGAACAAGCUACUGCCUUGGUUUUGCCCUGGCAGGGACGAGCCUCACUCGCUGCUCUCCAAUUUAAAAAUUGUCACUGACUUCUUAGAACCCAUUGUGUCCGGACUUGGUUUCUUCAGAUGUGUCCGGAGUUUCUUCUUGGCCUCACCGACUUCAAGAAUGAAGCCACGGACCUCGCGACCCGGUUAUUAGAGAGAUCUGCUUACCACAUGGCGAUGGGGUGGCCAAAGCACUAUUUUCAUACCACACCUCACCAAGGUUUGCCUGCAGACAUCAGUUUUCAGUCACUGCCAUCAAACACAUUAGCAGAUAUGUAUGAAGAAGCUACCUCUGUUGGAGAAGUAUGUGUAUCAAAAAUUAUACUUACCACAUUUUGUCUUAAGGAGAGUACCAUAUAAGAUGGUAAUGUUUGUGAUGUGAUGGGUAACAGCUGGCAGGCUAAACUACAUUCUUGGAGAAUGGAUUAUUUAAUUCUAGGCUUUUGAUUUGCUGAUUGGGGAGUGCAAUUUUGGGCCAAGAGCCAGACUGUUCAGAAUAAUACAGGAAGGCUGAGAACCUGCCUUCAUUUCUCGAACUUUCCCCACACUGUACUUAUUGCCUCCUCUAAACAAACAAACAAACAACAGCAACAACAAAAAACUUCAGUAAAGUUUCAGGAUACAAAAUCAAGGUACAAAAAUUAGUAGCAUCUCUAACACCAAUAACAUUCAAGCUAAGAGCCAAAUCAAGAAUGCGAUCCCAUUUAAAAUAGCCACAAGAAAAAUAAAAUACCUAGGAAUACACAUAACCAAGGAAGUGAAAGACCUCUACAAAGAGAACUAUAAAACACUGCUAAAAGAAGUCGCAGAUGACAAAAACAAAUGAAAACACAUUCCAUGUUCAUGAACUGGAAGACUCAACAUUCUUAAAAUGACCAUACUGCCCAAAGCAAUCUACAGAUUCAAUGCUUUUCCUAUCAAACUAUCAAUGCCAUUUUUCACAGAACUAGAAUAAACUAUUCUAAAAUCCAUAUGGAACCAAAAAAGAACCCAAAUAGCCAAAGCAAUCCUAACCAAAAGAACAAAACCAGAAGCAUCACAUUACCCAACUUCAAACUAUACUAUAAGGCUACAGUAACCAAAAACAGCAUGGUACUGGUACAAAAACAGAUACAUAGAGUAAUGGAAUAGAAUAGAGGCCCCUAAAAUGAAGCUGCACACCUACAACAACCUGAUAUUUGACAAAACAAGCAAUGAGGAAAGGACUUCCUAUUCAAUAAAUGGUGCUGGAAUAACUGGCUAGCCAUGUGCAGAAGAAUGAAACUGGACCCCUACCUUUCACCAUCACCACAUAAAAAAAAUUAACUCAACAUGGAUUAAGGAUUUAAAUGUAAGACCUACAACUAUAAAACCUAGAAGAAAACCUUGUAAAUACUAUUCUGGACAUCAGCCUUGGCAAGUAAUUCUUGACUAAGUUUUCAACUGCAACAAAAACAAAAAUGGACAAAUGGAACCUAUUUAAACUAAAGAACUUCUGCACAGUGAAAGAAACUAUCAACAGACUAAACAGACAACCUAUGGAAUGGGAGAAAAUAUUCAGAAACUAUGCAUCCAACAAAGAUCCACUAUCCAGAAUCUACAAACAAUGUAAGCCAUUUAACAAGCAAAAACAAAAUAACCCAAUUUAAAAAAAUGACAAAAGGACAUGAACAGACAUUUCUCAAAAGAAGACAUACAAGUGGCAAAAAAAAAAACACAUGAAAAAAUGCUCCACAUCACUAAUCAUCAGAAAAAUGCAAAUCAAAACCACAAUGAGAUCCCAUCUCACACCAGUCGGAAUGUCUAUUAUUAAAAAAUAAAAAAAAAAAAAACAGAUGCUGGCAAGGCUGUGGAGAAAAGGGAAUGCUUACACACUGUUGUUAGAAUGUAAAUUCGUUCAGCUACUGUAUAAAGCAGUUUGGAGAUUUCUCAAAGAACUUAAAACAGAACUACCAUUUGACCCAACAAUCCCAUUACUGGGUAUAUAUCCACAAGAAAACAAAUCGUUCUACUAAAAAGACACAUGCACUUGCACGUGCAUCACAGUCCUAUCACAACAGCAAAGACAGAAACUCAACCUAGGUACCCAUCAACAGUGGAUUGGAUUAAAAAUUAUGGUACAUAUGCACCAUGGAGUACUACACAGCCAUAAAAGGAAGGAAAUCAUGUCCUUUGCAGGAACAUGGAUGCUAUUGAAGGUCAUUAUCCUAUUAUCCUAAGUGGAUUAACACAGAAACAGAAAACAAAAUCCCUCAUGUUCUCACUUAUAAGUGGGAACAUUGGGUACUCAUGGACAUAAAGAUGGCAACAGUAGACACUGGGAACUACAAAACAAACAAACAAACAAACAAACAAAACAAGAAGCUGCCUUGGUAGACUGUCACACUAAAUUGUUACUGUUGCUUCAAUUUAACAUCUAUUAACUAUAACAAAAUGGUUUAUAAAAUAAAAAAUUAGACAUCAUUUGUAGCAAUUUCUUCAGUAUUUAAACAUUCGUGGAAGAUAGAGAAAAUAAUAUGGGCUUAAAACAGAAUCUUCUCUCCUUUUCCCACAAAUCACCAUGUUUUAUGUGUUCUCAAACAAAACCAUCUGAUGCCAUGAAGCUAAAUAUUUUCAACUGAAAUAUAAGAGUAGUCUAUAAUAUUAUCAAAUAAGGGUACUAUUUUAAUAAUGUACCAAAAGAAUCACUGGGGUUUGAAUUCUAUUUCAUGAAAAUCUAAUUUUCUUCUUAAUUCUGCAGCCCAG
rnacentral:lncRNA from 10 species